GGGCGAUGACGAUUUAUUACAAGGUCUCGUUCGUCGGAACGGCGGUGCUUGUCGCCGCCUUGACGACCAUCCUGAUAUAUCACCACCCAUAUUCUGAGUCC